rnacentral:rRNA from 1 species
UACGUAGGUGGCAAGCGUUGUCCGGAAUUAUUGGGCGUAAAGCGCGCGCAGGCGGUCCUUUAAGUCUGAUGUGAAAGCCCACGGCUCAACCGUGGAGGGUCAUUGGAAACUGGGGGACUUGAGUACAGAAGAGAAGAGUGGAAUUCCACGUGUAGCGGUGAAAUGCGUAGAGAUGUGGAGGAACACCAGUGGCGAAGGCGACUCUUUGGUCUGUAACUGACGCUGAGGCGCGAAAGCGUGGGGAGCAAACGGA